rnacentral:rRNA from 1 species
UACGUAGGGUGCGAGCGUUGUCCGGAAUUAUUGGGCGUAAAGAGCUCGUAGGCGGUUUGUCGCGUCUGCUGUGAAAACUCGGGGCUUAACUCCGGGCCUGCAGUGGGUACGGGCAGACUAGAGUGCGGUAGGGGGAGACUGGAAUUCCUGGUGUAGCGGUGAAAUGCGCAGAUAUCAGGAGGAACACCGGUGGCGAAGGCGGGUCUCUGGGCCGAUACUGACGCUGAUGCGCGAAAGCGUGGGGGAGCAAACAGG